GACGAACGCUGGCGGCGUGCCUAAUACAUGCAAGUAGAACGCACAGUUUAUACCGUAGCUUGCUACACCAUAGACUGUGAGUUGCGAACGGGUGAGUAACGCGUAGGUAACCUGCCUGGUAGCGGGGGAUAACUAUUGGAAACGAUAGCUAAUACCGCAUAAUAUUAAUUAUUGCAUGAUAAUUAAUUGAAAGGUGCAAUUGCACCACUACCAGAUGGACCUGCGUUGUAUUAGCUAGUAGGUGAGGUAACGGCGCAACUAGGCGACGAUACAUAGCCGACCUGGGAGGGUGCACGGCCACACUGGGACUGAGACCCGGCCCAGACUCCUUCGGGAGGCAGCAGUAGGGAAUCUUCGGCCAUUGACGGAAGUCUGACCGGACAACGCCGCGCGGGGGAAGGAGGUUUUCGGAUCGUUAAGCUCUGUUGUUAGAGAAGAACGGGUGUGGGAGUGGAAAGUUCACACUGCGACGGUAUCUUACCAGAAAGGGACGGCUAACUACGUG
rnacentral:rRNA from 1 species